rnacentral:rRNA from 1 species
UGAGGAAUUUUGCGCAAUGGGCGCAAUCCUGACGCAGCAACGCCGCGUGGGUGAUGAAGGCCUUCGGGUCGUAAAGCCCUGUCAGGUGGGAAGAAUGUCCCGGGACUGAACAGGUUCCGGGAGUGACGGUACCACCAGAGGAAGCACCGGCUAACUCCGUGCCAGCAGCCGCGGUAAUACGGAGGGGGCAAGCGUUAUUCGGAGUUACUGGGCGUAAAGCGCGUGUAGGCGGUCCCGCAGGUCUGAUGUGAAAGCCCCGGGCUUAACCCGGGAAGUGCAGUGGAAACUGUGGGACUUGAGUACGGGAGAGGAUGGGGGAAUUCCCGGUGUAGCGGUGAAAUUCGUAGAGAUCGGGAGGAAUAUCAGUGGCGAAGGCGCCCAUCUGGACGGUAACUGACGCUGAGACGCGAAAGCGUGGGGAGCAAACA